UUUAACGUGAAGUAACACUAAUUAACGUGAAGCUUAAUGAACAAAUAAGAAUGCAUCACUAAUAUAACUUGAGUAGGUUGAUAUGAACCUCACGACAUUUCUCCUUAAGCCGAAACUGUUUUUAACAGAUUCGUUGUUCUACGCAGUGAUCACCCCAAUCAUUGCGUAUUUUUUUGUCUAUAAUAAUG
rfam:Acinetobacter baumannii AB056 AB56_NODE_443, whole genome shotgun sequence.